UCGACCUGAGGUCAGGCAAGAACACCCGCUGAACUUAAGCAUAUCAAUAAGCGGAGGAAAAGAAACUAACUAGGAUUCCCUUAGUAGCGGCGAGCGAACCGGGAUGAGCCCAACUUGUAAAUCAUUAGCCCUUGGCUAAUUGAAUUGUAGUCUCAAGAUGCGAUCUCUGCAGCUAGCAGUGCCCAAUUUUCCUUGGAAAAGGGAGUCAGAGAGGGUGAGAACCCCGUCGGCACUUGCCUCAGCUGUUCCACGAGACGUUUUCUCAGAGUCGGGUUGCUUGGGAAUGCAGCCCUAAGUAGGUGGUAAAUCCCAUCUAAGGCUAAAUACUGACGGGAGACCGAUAGCGAACAAGUACCGUGAGGGAAAGAUGAAAAGAACUUUGAAAAGAGAGUCAAAAGUGCUUGAAAUUGUUGAGGGGGAAGGAAUUGUAAGCUGUUUGUGCGCCCGGGCUAAAGUGGGCAAUUCUGCCCAUUGUACGCCUUGGGUGCCGGUCAGCAUCGGCUAUUGG
rnacentral:rRNA from 1 species